rnacentral:rRNA from 1 species
GAUGAACGCUGGCGGCGUGCCUAAUACAUGCCAGUCGAGCGAACGGACGAGAAGCUUGCUUCUCUGAUGUUAGCGGCGGACGGGUGAGUAAAACGUGGAUAACCUACCUAUAAGACUGGGAUAACUUCGGGAAACCGGAGCUAAUACCGGAUAAUAUUUUGAACCGCAUGGUUCAAAAGUGAAAGACGGUCUUGCUGUCACUUAUAGAUGGAUCCGCGCUGCAUUAGCUAGUUGGUAAGGUAACGGCUUACCAAGGCAACGAUGCAUAGCCGACCUGAGAGGGUGAUCGGCCACACUGGAACUGAGACACGGUCCAGACUCCUACGGGAGGCAGCAGUAGGGAAUCUUCCGCAAUGGGCGAAAGCCUGACGGAGCAACGCCGCGUGAGUGAUGAAGGUCUUCGGAUCGUAAAACUCUGUUAUUAGGGAAGAACAUAUGUGUAAGUAACUGUGCACAUCUUGACGGUACCUAAUCAGAAAGCCACGGCUAACUACGUG